UAGUCAUAUCAUGUUGAAACAACGGCUGUCGUCCGAUCACCGAAGUUAAGGAACGUCGACCCUGGUCAGUACUUAGAUGGAUGACCGCUUACGAAUACCAGGUGCUGUAAG